UGGUUCCUUUCGAUUGCACUUUUUUCGCACUUCGCUUAGAACGAGAAAGAUUCUGGAGCGAAAAGAAAUUCAAUUAUGUUUCUGUGGCUGAAAAGAAAACGGAAAAGGAACAAAUCUAUAUCUUUACGCGCAUAUAUCGUGUCAGCGGUUAACGAUUCGCGAUUAAUUAUAGCACAUGUUUUUUUUCUCACGAUAAGUUUGUCCGCGCUCUUGUGUCAACCUUUGCCAUCCCUCGAGUGGUGCUACCUUCCUAUUACGCUUCCGCGCAUCGUUACGAUAGUACGCAAGUAGGCCAAGUACAUUUUACAACCUCGGCCUCAAGGGUAUCGAGCGUACCAUCGAGUUUGAUAUACGACCUCUAGAGGGUGAAUAACGUACGCAAAAGUAUCCAGAGCAAAUUUGUUGGCAGUUGGCACUACUUGUCACAGGAUGUUCUCCAAGUUUGUUAUUAUAGUUAUUAGAUUAGAUAGAGAGAGAAAAGAAAUGUUUCAUUCAAAUAUUUAUUAAAUAAUUUAAUUGUUCACCUAGUGCUAUCGAAGACAAAUCAUCGAAUAAAAGAUCUGUUCACGAGAUGAUACAUGUAAUUGCACAUUACACAUGCAAUACACUAAAUGUGAAAAUUUUGUAAAUAUAUUACAUAAAUCAUGAUUAAUUAUCAAUGAAAUUACUGGCAGUAAACCAAUUCUCCAUAAGAGUGAUUAAACAUGCAUAAUUAUAUUUUUCUAAUAAUAAUAAUAGGAUUGUCACAUCUCUUUGUGCAUUAUAUUUCUUUGUUAUGUACAAGUUGGUUGUUUUAGCAAGUUACAUUAUAUAUAUAUAUACACACACACACAGAGCACACACCGUAGAAUACAUUCUGAAAUAAAUCCACAGCAUACAGAAGAUUCACCUAUUCUUUCCAUCUUGUUAGACCCUGAUUUUAAGGGAUCCCUGAUCCCUCAUUGUAUUAUAGUUUUAUUGAAUUAUGAGAUCAAAAGUGAGAAAGUAGAAAAUUCUUUUCCUUCACUAAAACAAGUUGAAACAAGUUAUUUUUCACACAUUAUUAAUCACGUUUUCCAAUAAUACAAUGCAAGGGCUUUUCUUCGCAUUGUAUCAUUCAUUCAUGAUUUUUGCUUCUAACGUCAUAAUUCAAUGUCUGCAUUAAGGAAUUAUUAUUAUCUAUUAAAAAAAAGGAAGCCCUUCCAGUAGAUACAAGCCUAUUAAAUAGUGAAAACAUAAAAAUUCUCAGUUCAAUAUUAAAUUUGCUUCUUGAUUCGAAAAAAGGACUAUUAAAACCGAUAAAAAAUAUUAUACUUGUACAUAUUUUUGCAUAUAAUAUACAUAUCUGUUUUUCAAUGCUUUUGACAUUGAACCAGCUUUGUGUAAUUGUAGUGAAAAUUAUCCUUAAAAAAUUCUCUUUCAUCCAAGGAUUCUUACAGAAUCGUUUCUUGUCGCUUGUAAAGACACAAGUAGAUAAAAACAAUUUAACGCUAUUGUUUUUUCCUUCAUAUAUAUCCAAGAUUAGAAAUCCUAACAUGUUUCUAGUAUAUUACAAACGCUUUUAGCAGUACAACAAUAACUUAAACGCUGGAAGUAUACAUUCCUUAAAAAACUAUCGUCCUUUAGUACCCUUUAAAGGACUAUUAUUGUAAAGAAAUAUUGAAA
rnacentral:lncRNA from 1 species